CAGCCAAGAAUCAAACCCGAAUCUCUACGUUUGUCGGACGGGCGUCAUACCAUUAGACCACCGAGGCGUGAAUUCAAAUAAUUUAGAGAAAUAGGCUCACAAGAAUAUAUCAAACAUAUUAAAGUAAGAGGCCAUAUGCCUCGGUGAUCUAAUGGUAUAGGAUGCCUAUCCAACAAACGUGGAGAUCCGGCUUCGAUUUCUAGCUGAGAACUGAGGUGAUAUUUUUCGCAAUAAAUUCUUUAAAGAUUCGGGGAGAAGGGGAAUUGUUGCGUAUAUAUUAGUGGGCCCACUACGUAGUUCCAUACAUUCCGCGUCGCUGAGCAAAGCGACAAAAUACAAUAGCCAGAAGUUAACUUUGUUCACUCAAAACAACGGUUCAAAACACAAAAUUUAUUGCCAUUUGGCAACACCACUGCCGUCUGUCCUAAUAUUGGGUCAUCCGUACCCCCAUCCUUCAAUCAACACGCCGAUUGUCUCACAGGUGCUAUCUCUAGCGGUAAAUGCUUGAAACAACUCUUGUCCGAUACUAUCGCUUGUCCGUUACACCCCGAAUUUCCCCUAUAUGAUAAAUUAUUUGUGAUAUAGGA